rnacentral:lncRNA from 1 species
GGGAGGGGAGGGCAGAGUUAUGCAUCCAGGACUGAGAAAAGAGCAAAACAGGGCCCAGUACCGGAAACAGUAUGAACCACGAGCGCGCCCUCACACUGUCCAACCAAGAGGCCUGUUUUAAAUAAGAAAACAUCGCCAGUCUUCACCACAGAAGCUUUGAGCAGGAUAAGCACCAGACGAGCGGUGAGGCGGCGCCGGGGACCCUCACCAGGUUUCCUAAAUGAGUUUCUGCACUGCGCGGAGUGCACCACUUCCUUAAUCCAAUAUCUGAUGAAGGGGCCAGGAGAGAGGAAUUAAUUUCCACGCACUAAUUAAAGAGGGGUGGGCACCGUCUACACGGCGCAAGUCUCUGAAAUGAAUAUUUGAUAAACAAUAUCUGGUAAAUUAAAAACCUGAAAUGUUAAAUUAAAUGCAAAUUAAGAAUCUGGAAUGUUUAAUUAAAGACACAAGACGGCAUCGAGUAACAUUACGGGUCUCGGUUAAAGCGGGGAAGGACGGAAAAAAAAGAAGUUGCCAACAUUACACGCUUCUCACCUGCCGGGAGUCACCGAGGGCCGAGAGCUUCAGGUCGCCCACGGAAUAAAACACGCGCAUCCUGUAACCGCCUCUGCGGAGUUUCCUAUCAUAGCGAACGUGCCAGGCUUAUUCGAAAUCACCGCCUCCGUUUCUUUCUUUCCUUUUUUGAGACAGGGUCUUGCUGUGUAGCCCAGGCUGUCCUCGAAUGAACUUGCGGAGACCCUUCUGCCUCAGCCCACGGAGUACUGGGAUUCCUGGCCCGCACCACCAGUCUGGCGCUGACUCCCGUUCUAGCUUGAGCUUUUGUGCAUUGCCGUCACCUGUUUCCAUGGCUUCCCCGCCGCGAUGGAUGCUGGAUUUCUGGACCGCAAAGGCCUGUGAUUGGCCUGUGCCUGUAGCACUGAGUACUUGACUGGUGCAUGUUGUGUGCUUAAAUAUGAAUAUGGGUG